GCGGACCGCGCGGAGCUAAGUGGAAUCCCGGUUGGCUUGGGGCGCAGGCUUCCAACUUCGUACUCUGGCCUCUGGCGUCUCGGCUCGUCGGUUGGGUACCCGAACCCAGCUACUGCUGCUUGAAGAGAAGAUGGAUGGGGACUCCUCGCCGUCGCUGCGCCGCCGGCCUUCCCUGGGCGGACGUACACCUUUGCGAAGCGUCAGUGAGGACCCAGGGCCCCUCCUUGGAAUAGCUCUUAUUUCUCAAGCGCUGCAGCGUGAAGCUCGCUCUGCGGGUCCGAGAGGCCUGCGAUCUGAAGACUGAAAACUGGGAAGAGACGCUCUACCCUGUGCUCCUCGCCGGCUUCGAUAGGAGCCGCAGGUGCCUGGGAUUUUCUCAAACUUUGUCCCAAACUUCAGCUGUGGGAGUGGAGGAACAAACAGGCCUCUCCCAGAAUUGUGAAAGAGAUCGCCCUGGUGGAUGAAACAAAAACAAAUGCACUUGACUUCCACCGCCUGCCUGGCGUGUCACGCGGGUUUAAUGUAUGUGUCACAUUUAAAUUCAAAGUAUUUUCUUCUAAGGGCCUGGACACAUUUCUUUUCUCCCUGUAUCGUGAAUUGGAAAAUACCUUAGGAUAUUAAAAGUUAUCUAAGAUAACCCCCUUUCUUCUGUAAGUUAAAUACUAAACGGCUUAAGACGAAAUUUUGGAAUAUAGAGAUGAUGAUGCAGACUGCAGUGAAUUAUCAAAUAUGCAUCUCACUGUUCUCCACAUUAAACAUAUUUUUGUUGCGUAAAUUCAUGUUAAGACGUCUAUAACAAUUACACUUUGGUAAAAUUGUUGGAUGUUAACAUCUCUGAUAGCUCCCAAUAGAAAUCUCUGAUGUACUAACCAGACUGGUAAACCAUUAUCAUGCACUUUGAAAAUAUAAUAAAAUAUUAUAAUUAAAGCUGCCAUUAAU
rnacentral:lncRNA from 1 species